CUAUGCUCACAGUAGAGCCGCAGAGGGUGCCUGAGGCCAGGCUCCGUAGCCAGAGAGCAAAAGUGAGGCCGAGACAUCGUCCUUUACUGUUCUGUGGUUUAAAAAUUAACUUAUUAUUAAUUGAGGGCGUCCUGGGCACUGUGCUGCGACUGCCCGUGCUGUGUGAGGAGGCUGGAGAUCAGCUGGGCAGGCCCGCGGGGCGAUCGUUGGCUUCUUGAAUGCAUGACACAAGUUUGAAUAAAACAGAAAGCAUUUGCUGGAGUUGGCUGGCCCGGAGCUGUGCUGACCUUGGCCAUCUCGCUGAGUGCUCGCUGCAGUCCGUGGGGUUACGACGUUGUUAUCGCUGCUUCACAGAUGCAGAAACCGAGGGCUGGCGAGUUGGGCUUGCUCGGCUCCUCAGACCUGUCAAGUGGUGGAUUCAAACCGGCUUGGCCCGACUCCAGCCCUUGUCAGUGUUUGCUCAGCUGCCCCGCGUAGGCUGUCUUCGGGUGGCCAUGCCGUCCAGGAAGUGCCUGCGUCACCCUUGGGUGGUCCCUGAUGUCAGCUGGAACUUGAGGAAAGGCUCCCCUCACAUCACAUCACCCCAGGAAACGUGUGUUUGGGGCAAAAGAUAAAAUAUUGAAUUCCCAGCUAGUGAUAAGACAGCAUUCACACUUGAGACCGGGGCUAUUAAAAGUUUUACUAUGUACUUAGAAUUAAA